CUGAUCACGAGCACCUGUUUUGGACUUCACACCAGCAAGAAGUAAAUAUUCAUAGUGUUUGAACCAUGAUACAGUUUGCUCUGAGUAGCCUCCCUAACUGAUCUAGGCAUAAUGCCUAGAACGCUAGGCAACACUGAGCGUUUCCCAAAGUGUAUUCUGCGGAACUAGCACCUACUGUGUUCUCAACACCGUGCCACCUCUAGAAGAUGAUCAUGGGAACAGCAAUAGUAGUCAUGUAAAAAUCU